AUUGAACGCUGGCGGCAUGCUUUACACAUGCAAGUCGAACGGCAGCGCGGGCUUCGGCCUGGCGGCGAGUGGCGAACGGGUGAGUAAUACAUCGGAACGUGCCCAGUCGUGGGGGAUAGCUCGGCGAAAGCCGGAUUAAUACCGCAUACGACCUGAGGGUGAAAGCGGGGGAUCUUCGGACCUCGCGCUAUUGGAGCGGCCGAUGGCAGAUUAGCUAGUUGGUGGGGUAAAGGCCUACCAAGGCGACGAUCUGUAGCUGGUCUGAGAGGACGACCAGCCACACUGGGACUGAGACACGGCCCAGACUCCUACGGGAGGCAGCAGUGGGGAAUUUUGGACAAUGGGCGAAAGCCUGAUCCAGCAAUGCCGCGUGUGCGAUGAAGGCCUUCGGGUUGUAAAGCACUUUUGGCGGGAACGAAAAGGACUGUGCCAAUACCACGGUUCGAUGACGGUACCCGCAGAAUAAGCACCGGCUAACUACGUG
rnacentral:rRNA from 1 species